GCUCUUUGGAAGGCCGCUGCAACCUCUGCUGCCUCCAUUUUGUUUGUGCUGUUGCAGUGACCUUCACACUUCAGGAAUGAAAUUGUUCCUAGGAACCUGCAUUUUAAACUGUUAUCACAGCACUGGGGUUAGGCACACAGGCUUUCCUCCCCAGGGAUGUAACAGGUCCACGCGUGGGGUGGCUCAGGUCUGGGCUGGUGUGUUAUUCCCAGGUACGGAAGGACGUCGGUUGAAAUGAAAAGCAAGGAGUUCGGUCAGGGGGACCUUAGACAAAGGGAACUGUGCACAGACACAAAGGAAUGGCUGGGAGAGGGGCUUUGCUGGCUCUUUCCUCCUCCUUUUAAAAGCUGACACUCGAGGCUGCUCAGAAGGUGGUGCUGCCCUGUGCACAGGGCUGCUAGAAGACCGUAGGUGGCAGAUUCCCGUUGUGAGCUCGAGGUGGACUUUGCCUGCUCAGUUCAGUCCCGUCUCCAGCUGUGAGAUCAGAGGGCCUUUUCCUAAGCCCAAAUACAGCACAUUGCUGAUGAAACAGUGCUCUGUGUGUUUGCAUUGCCACUCUCUUUUUGUGCCGCUGCUGAAAGGCAGCAGGUUCCGGGGUGGAUGGCGUCACGCAGGUGGCAACAUACCUUGCAGAAGUGAAGAAACCCAAGCCUUUUUUUUUGGUUUUGGUUCAGAACAGAACAGCAGGGGGAAACCUGACUUGGCUGGAAAGUUACGUCAGAGCUAAAACCCUCACGCAGAGCAGGAAGAGUGGAGUUUUUGUUUCACCUGGAAUUAAAAAAAGACUUCCUCAGUGAAGCGGCGUAACACCGCUCCAUCCCCGUCUGGGGGUGGGUUCCCUACUGCUGCUCCCGCCUGUGUCCGCGGUUUGGAAAUGCCGCUUGUCCCAAGAGGACAGCAGGAGCGAGCGCGGAGCUCGGGGCCUCUUUUUGUCCUGGGGAAGCAGCGCAGGGGCAGGGGAUGGGCCCGUUAGGUGACAGUGCCAGCACAGAGGGACACACAGGGGGGUUCACAGCGUGCGGUGCCGCAGCAUUUAACCGUCCUGACACCGGGCCAGAUAGCGACACCUCUGCGGCCACCGCCGCUCGGUGACAGACAUCGGUGACAUUGAGCGGGGCGCGAUGCCCUUUCGCGCCUGACAGCCCUUCUCCCCGCUCGGCCCUCCUCCUGGGCCAGAUUCACCUUUAUGGCGGGGAAGGGGAGCCCUGAAGGAGAAAGGCAGGCCUGGCGCUGCUCUGGAGGUGGCACCAGGCCCACUGCUCGCCCAGGCCCACGGAGCAGCGCGGGCCAGCAGGAGAAGGUCACCCGCGUUGUUUUUCUCACCCGGCCCUCAUCUGCUCAAUGCUUUUUGCCCCGGGUCGCUGCAGAUCCCUCAGGAGGGCUCCUUCCAACCCCUCGGGCCCCUUCCCCUGCCCGCUUCUCUCUCCCCUUUCCCUUCCCCAGCCCCGUUCUCCGUUCGGCUCCUGUGGGGCCGAGGACGGGGGGAACAAAAGGGCUCUGUGCCCGGCCCGGCGUUGGGGGGCUCGGCGUUGUGACCGAUUUUCUCUUGUCUUUGCAGUUGUCGAAGGCUGCUCCUGCCCUGGGGGAUGGGGAGCGGAAACCCAACGAAGUUAUCAAAUUCCUGGAAGUCUACGAGCGCAGUUUCUGCAGGACAAUUGAGACCCUGGUGGACAUUUUCCAGGAGUACCCUGAUGAGGUGGAGUACAUAUUCAAGCCAUCCUGUGUGCCUCUGAUGAGAUGUGCGGGUUGCUGCGGCGAUGAGGGCCUAGAAUGUGUCCCUGUGGAUGUGUACAACGUCACGAUGGAGAUCAUGAGAAUUAAACCCCAUCAGAGUCAGCACAUAGCGCACAUGAGCUUCUUACAGCACAGUAAAUGUGACUGCAGACCAAAGAAAGAUGUCAAAAAUAAACAAGAAAAGUGGGCACAGAAACCCAGAUCUGACGGUCCUUCCUUCAUACCCCAGACCUGGAGCUUGCAUGACCCACGACCAUGGCAGUCAUUCCUAAUGCUUUACCCUGAGUCAGGGAAGUCCCGUCGUGUGUGUCCUACCAGAAUGGAUUCAAGGUGCAGCCCCCAUUCUCCCUUCCCUCUUCCUGGGGUGUUUCUGGUUACUGCAAAUCGCUGCCUUUCUUUAUUAUUAAUUUUUUUUCUUGCUGCUUGAGUGAGAACUUGCUGGCUUCUUUCACAGCAGCUUGGGUAGGAACUCUGCUGGCUACAGGGAGAGGUGGCAGUGGAGGCCUGGUGGAGGCAGGACUGAUGCCAUGCACGAUGUGAUGCUGGUUUUGGCGGGGUGGGGGCCUGGGAGGGUAUAAAAGGAGAUGGAUCUCCUAGCUGGGUCUCGCUGGAGGCUUUCAGGAGAGCUUUUUUCAAGCUGAUGGAUUUACUCUGGUGACCUGGAGAAGGUUAAGGCACAACCUUCCCUUUCCUUCCUCCCCAAAGUAAAAAGGUUAUGGAAAGUAGAUAAAUCAGCUCUCGCCCUGCAGUAGUUGCAGGGGCGAUCACAAAACGUGGAGCAACAUGGAAAAAUAGAGUGACCUCUCUGGGUGAGAGGGACAGCCGGACUGCGCAUGGCUGGGAUAGCGGCUCUGCCAUUUGGAGGUGCGGAGUUGGAGAGGAAAGGGGCAAAUACUGGGAGAUGAGGCUGAAACAGAGAGAGAGAGCAAGCGGGAGAGUGAGAGAGAACUUCUUUCACCCCUCUCCUGGCGGUUGUGUACUUGUAGCCGCCUUCCAGCCUCUCCUCCUCCCCCUGGAAAUCCGCUCGUGGCUGCAUCGGGCCGCGGGCGGCCGGUGCUCCUCUCUGUGCAGGGCGGUGUCGGGGACGGUCGGUCUGCGUGGCUCUGUGGUCUGAAGGUGUGCGAGAGUUGGGUCUGUGUGAGCUCUGGUGAGGAUGGGGUGUGGGUGAAGCAGCCAGCCCGGACUGUGUUGCAUUCCCUUUCCUCUUCUAACAGCACCUUGCCUGCUCUUUGCUGGUUCUGCACUCCCCGGGGAAGGAAGGGAAGGGAUGGGAGAGAUCGGUGUGCUUUGACUUGCUCUCGAUUGAAAGUCCUGUUAUAUUGGUGCCCCUCUCCUCCCUUCAGGUCGAUUUUCCUCCCCUCACCGCCUCCCUGUGACUCCUGACACGUAGGGCAGAGGCUGGCAGUGAGCUGAUGCUCUGACACUCGUUCCAGCGAGAAGACUUGAACGGGGCCUAAGGAACACCUGUGGUGCUUUCCCCUGUGCCCCCCAUGUCCCCUCCCUCGACAGCUCCCUCCCGAGGUGGGCUGCACCAGGGAAGGAGGGAGUCCCUGCUGAGCUGCCGUGGAGCCCACUUGUCUGACAAGCCCCGGUGCUUUGCCCAGGGCCUUCUCCUCGCAUGCCUCUCCCUUGGUGCUGCUCUGAUGUGGCUCAAGGAGCAGCGCAGGCUCCAGCCUCCCUCCCUCUCUGUGCUCUCGCUGGGCUGUAGAGGUCCAUGGUUAGCGUCCAGGCCUGCAUGUCCUAGCCCUGGCCUGGCCCAGCUCCUGCCCCCAGAUCAGGAGCAAUGGGUGAAUUCUUAAGAGAGUCAGUGCCUCGGCUCCGUCCGCUCGUCAGUUUGUCAGACCCACGUGGAAAGCGAAGGGAGGGAAGGGGUGGAUGAGGAGGGAGAAAAGGAGAGAAGGCCUGAAGCUGGGUGUCAUCUCCUGGGUGUCAUAACUAGGUCAGGCCUCCCUCUUCCUCCUCCGGCACUCAGGAAGGAGGCUGCUGGAGGGGCUAUGAGCAGACAGCGAGGUCUCCUGGAGCCCACCGAGCCAUAGGCAGGCAGUGGGGUUGGCGAGCAGAGCUCGCGGGCAAGGUGGCCCCCUCCCACACAGCACUGCUGUUCUCCCUCCUUGUCCCAGCGUGCUGGGCCCAUCCCGUGGCAGGAUUAUCACCAUGUCCUGGCUGCCCCCUCCUCACCACCAGGUCAGGGCGGUUUCCUCUUCCCCAGGUUGACCCUCGUCAGCCAGCGUGCACCUGAGCUUGUGGCCCGGGAUGGUUGUCUGUGCUCGCUGCGGUUGUGUGAUGCUUUCUCCAGGCUUUCUGUUCCCUUCCCCUCGCCCCUGCCCGGCUGCCCCUCUCCGGGGGCUGCGGGGGCCCUCAGAGACCGCCCCGCGUGGAGGUGGGCUCUGCGCACGCCGUGUCCCCUGGCGCUGGCUUGGCUGCGGGCAGGCUGGGUGCGGUGCUGGCAGGAGCGCAGGAGGCCAGUGAGUGUGUGUGCGAGGUGGAGAUCUGUGCUUCGGCCCCGGGACUUGCCCUCCAGUCCUGCCUCAUGUGCUUCCCCCUCCCAGCAAGGCACAUGGCUGUGUUUUUUUUUUCUCUUCUUCCUUGCGUUUUCUUCCGUUUUCUCUCUAUCUCUCCCUUUCUUUCCUUCUCUCUCUCUCUCUUUCUCUGUUUUUUUUGUUUUUCUUCCAGAAAAUCAAAGCGAGGAAAGGGGAAGGGUCAAAAGAGAAAGCGCAAGAAAGGCCGGUACAAACCACCCAGCUUAUGUGAAAAACCGAGACGGUGAGCAGCGGAGAAGAAGGGGGAACAGCCCUGUUUCUGGAGCCUGAUUUCUCGCCUGGACAGAAAAAUACAAAACAAAACACUAAUCCAAAUGAACCCUAAAAAUGAAGGAUCGGUAGAGCACAGCACUUUCAGUACGGACGAUGGACUCCGGAAGGAACAUUCCCCAAGGCACCCGCCGCACAGAAUUCACCUUUGGGUUUUGAACUGUUUUAUUUUAUUUUUCUUUUCAUGCUGCUAAAUAACAGAGCCAGGAAGACUAUAGGGGUGUAUUUGAUGGGUUUUCCCAUGCAUACAUAUAUAUGUGUGUAUACAUGCAUAUACAUAUAUAUAUAUGUAUAUAUAUUUUAACCACAUCUAUAUAUACAUAUAUGUAUAUCUUAACCACACACACACACACAUAUAUAUAUAAUAUAUAUAUAUAUAUAUAUACUGAUUAUUUUUUUUAACAUUGCUAAUGUUAUUGGUGUCUUCACUGGAUAAUACUCGACUGCUGUGGACACAAGCGGGCUACUUGGGGCAUAAGAAACAAGCUAAGACUGGACUUGAGUAGAAGCGCUGGGUGUAAACUUCUUAACUCUAACUGACUUGUGCGGCCUCCGCUGUUUCUCUGUAGAGUGUGCUGUACCACAAACCACCUUCUCCUUGCCUGGGACAGGGAGGAGAGGUGAUGGAGAGGAUGGGCAGGGAGUUCCAAAGAGCGGCAUCUUAGGGUGCGAUGGGUCAAAGGCCAAGGAAAUGGCCAUCUGCGUGAUCAAGGAUUCCUCCUCCCCUCUCUUCCCCCAACCUUCGCCCUUACUCGUCUCAUAACCUGCCUGCCUUGCUGGGACAUGGGAUGUCAGUGUACAUUUUGCGUUGACUUUAUUCGCUAUAGAAACUUCGCCAGAGAGGCAAUGCUGGCUUCUCUUAAGGAUGGUGGGCAGCUGAUGCGCACUAAAUUUCCAUUCAAGGAAGUAUCACAGGAGUCUAGAUUCCCCGCCCUUGGUGGCUGCAAACGGACAUAAGGCCUACAGUGUGCUGAAGCAAGAAUGGGGACCGGUGCAUAGCCACACAAUUGUUCAGCACUGUCUGCUUUCUUCAUGCACAGAGCUGCCACUCAAGAGCAUCCAAGAUGCUUAUGGAACAUUUCUGGAAAGGGAUAUUAAUCAAAAGUAUAUACACAGGAGGGGUGUGUGUGUGUGUAUGUGAGCGUCAAGAUUUUUUUAAUGGCGUACUGUAAAUAUCAGGCCUCUUUUCCAGCUCUUGGGCUGGGGAAUCAAAUGUGAAGGCAGGAAUCCCUAAGCCGUGUCUGAAAAUCUUGGCUAUGUGUGUAUCUGCAAUAUACGCUGUGGUGUAUGUGAAACCCACCUUACACACGCGCGCACACACACACCCCUGAAAGCGUGUUUGUACAUCUAUGUGGAUAUAUAUAAUCUAGUUCUGUGAUUAAAAUUAUUAAUAAUAAUAAUAAUAAUCAAAAAGGUACUCGGUCUGUGUCAGAAAUCUGCCAAACAUCAUCUGCAAUUGAAUUUUUCAACGCCUGAUAAUGUACAACACGGAAAGCUUCCAAAAAAGACAAGACAGUCUAAAAACAGACUCACAACAAGUGACUACUAACCACUAGGAACUCCCCAUCCGACCGAUGGCUUUCAGAAGGAGAAAAAAAACACACGGGUGGGUGCUUGCAUCUACAAUGUAUAAUACUCAUGCUGCAUCGUGCGCAAGACAGAGGCUUCCGAUGGGGGGGGAGGGAAGAGAAAGUGUUUUAUAUACUUAUUUAAUAUCCCUUUUUAAAUUAGAAAUUAAACAGAUAAUUUAAUUAAAGAGUAGGGAUUUUUCAGUAUUCUUUGUUAAUAUUUAAUUUCAACUAUUUAUAAGCCGUACCUCUUUUUUUUUUUUUUUUUUUUUUUUUUAUUUGUACUGGUUGUGUAUAAAUUUAACCUUCCUGUUGUCCCAUCCCAUCUCUCCCCAAUUGUUGGCAGAGUCAGUAGCAUGUUAUGGGCAGUUAUUUAAUUAAUUUCUCUAACACCUACCCCUACACAUUCCUAUUGAGACAAGGGUUAGAUAUACAUCUACAUACUAUAUAUAUAUUUGGCUAUGUGUUUGUAUAUAUAUAUAUAUGUUUAUGUAUAUGUGUGAUUUGGAUUAAAUAGACGCUACGAUUUUUUUAUAUAUGUAAAAAGAAGAGACAGGAAAAAAUAGAAAAUUCUACAUCUUGAAUCUCUCUCCUUUUUAAUUUUAAUAUUUGUUAUCAUUUUAUUUAUUGGUGCUACUGUUUAUCUGUAAUAAUUGCGGGGAAAAAAGAUAUUAACACUACAUAUUGUGUCUAGUGAAUUUUUUCAAGAUAUUCCUUAGUACAUAUUUAUUUUUAAACAAAGAAAUUACAGAUAUAUCUUAAAAAAACGACGACGACGACGACAAACAAACUUUUUUGUAUUAAAGAAUUUAAUUCUGACCUUGA